rnacentral:rRNA from 1 species
AAAUUGAAGAGUUUGAUCAUGGCUCAGAUUGAACGCUGGCGGCAGGCCUAACACAUGCAAGUCGAACGGUAACAGGAAGCAGCUUGCUGCUUCGCUGACGAGUGGCGGACGGGUGAGUAAUGUCUGGGAAACUGCCUGAUGGAGGGGGAUAACUACUGGAAACGGUAGCUAAUACCGCAUAACGUCGAAAGACCAAAGAGGGGGACCUUCGGGCCUCUUGCCAUCGGAUGUGCCCAGAUGGGAUUAGCUUGUUGGUGGGGUAAUGGCUCACCAAGGCGACGAUCCCUAGCUGGUCUGAGAGGAUGACCAGCCACACUGGAACUGAGACACGGUCCAGACUCCUACGGGAGGCAGCAGUGGGGAAUAUUGCACAAUGGGCGCAAGCCUGAUGCAGCCAUGCCGCGUGUAUGAAGAAGGCCUUCGGGUUGUAAAGUACUUUCAGCGGGGAGGA